UCAAUACAAUUCCAGCAUGAAUAAUAAACCUUUAUCAUGAUUUAGGUAAUAUAAUAAUAACCAUUUUAUUAUUGCCUCUAGGGCAUAUUUCCAUCACCUAGCUCGUGGCCAAGAGAGGUCUGGCAAACAAGGGACAGAGGUCGAGAGAGACGUAUGGAGAAAAUGCAGGCAUGGGGAGGAGAGAGUGUGUGUUUGUGAUAGGGAGAUCCCCUAGAGAUCGUGAUGGGACUACAUGGGUGGGAGAUCGAGUGACAAAGUGUGUGCGCGAUAGAAGAUACCCCGAGGGAUAUCGAGAUAGACGUAGGGAUGGAAGGAGACAAUACGUGUGUUCCUGAUGGAUAGUGAGAGAUAGUCAUACUCAGGGGGCAGUGCGUUUGCCUAUGAUGGAGUGAGAGAUUAUGGUACUUAGGGGGUGCAUGUCACAUACAAAUAGAACUAGGGCGGAGAGUGUUAGAUGGGUCUAUGUAGUGUGAGCGAGAUAUGUGUCUGUAUGAACCAGGGAGAUGUAAAGUUUGAGAGAGAUAGAGGAGCCUCGAUACGGCUGAGUGGUACAUCAGAUAGGUGAGAGAGGGAAAGAGAUAUUCCAUCCGUUCGAUGAUGAAGUGCAUAUAAAUUUUUUAGAAGUCAAACUUUGAAAACUUUGACCAGGUUUACACAAAAUAUUAUUUAUAUCUAAAGAUACAUCAUAUAAAACUACAUCUUAUGAUGAAUCUAAUCUUACAUUCUUAAGAAGUUGCUUCCCACUACAAGCAAUUCUCUCAGCAUGCAUGCUGCCACGUCAGCAGUUUGCCACAUAAGCUUUGAUGGACGGUGGUACGCAGCCACCCCAUCCCAGGGUCGUUUGCUCUUCCUACUUCUAUAACCGGCGAGGUAGUCAAAGAGGCCAAAUGCAUCUAAACACGGUUGUUUGAUCUACACAUCUCAUCUUCCUAUUCUCAAUAGAGCCGUCGCUGCCAAAAUCAAGGUCCGAUGUGCGCAAACUAAUCACCAGGAGAGCUCGAUGUUGUGCACCCGGACCACCACACCUCGCCUGGAUGGCGCCGCCGCCAGGCCGCAGUGACUCCCUGGUGCCCGCUUGACCUUCGUCGCACUACUGCACCACGCCUGGACGGCACCGCCGCCCGCCCGCAAUGCGUCACCGACAGCCGCAGCUUCUCCUCGAGGCCCCCAGUAGCUUCGCCCAACUGGUCACUUCCAAUCAUCGGCAUCCGGUUCGCCCAUCUGCCGCGGCCCUCCGCACCCACCAUAGAACGUCCAUCGCCACCAAGGAUCUAGCCACUUCUCGUCCUGCAUCCCCUCAGUUCCUCCUCCCUUUGUGGUGGUGUGGAGCUCGGUGAACUAAUCGGCGUGGUCUGCGGCGAGAGAGGAAAAAGAGGGGCUCGGGCUCUACUUGCCUCUACCGUGUUUAUUUUAUUUUCUCCGUCAGAUUGGAACAUCUCUAGCGCCAGCGUGAGUUUCUGGGAUUUCCUUGCGGUUUACAAGAUGAACCCCUCUAUCAUUGGCGCUAAUGUUCCCAUUAGCAAGGUAAAUGGGGUUCAAUAUUGCAUGAUUCUUUCAAUAAUCCUUUAUGUCUUCAAGAAACUUUAGUCCCAAUUUAUUCGGUAGUUGUGCUACAAAACAUUAAUUCUUGCAUUGUCACCUGCGUGCUGGGAUCAGAUUUCAGCUACCUGUGCCUAAACUAUGACUGGUUGUUGUCUCUUGGUCGAUUGAUUCUGAUGGAAGGUUUUGUUUUAGGAAUGGGUUCCAGAAGAUAGACAAGAUCAAGGACUAUCACAGGCAUCCAAGCAGCUAGAUGGACUCACUGGCAAUGAGGGAGUGCAAGCGAACUGCAGAUCAAUGAGGUUGCUGCAGCUAGCAGUCAAAUAUAUAUGAUAUUAUCUUCAGUGAGGUAAAUAUUAGAUACUGUAGCUAAGUUCUGUUAUGCAAAUUUCCACACCAUGUUCUUUUAGCAAAUACUUUCAUUGACGCUUAAAUAUUAGAAAAGACAUCAUCCGCAAUGUAUACACAGAAUGUGGGCUUUGCUAAACAAACAUUGGUGGUAAGAAGUUCAGAUUAUCAGAACUUCUAUCGUUCAUUUCCUCAUAAUUAUUUUUGGUAUUCAACCCCAACAUAAUAACUAAUUCUUCUUGGACGUCGUGUUUUGAUCCCCAAAAGGAGUACACAGUCAUAGGUUAUACAGUUUUCUGUUUUAUCUCACUUAUUUACCAUAAGCAUUGAAAGGGAUGCAAAGAAGAUAGAUGGUGUGCCGAAGUAACUCUGACCUGGUUCCAUGUUGAGGUUGCACAUCAGCUUUUUCCAGAAACUAUGUUCUCACAAAUAAGACUGACUUUCUGCAACCGUAUUAUUUUCAUCAUUGUAAAAGUAAUUUAAAUUAUUCUGUAGUAUAAGUUAUGGUGCAAAGUGAUAUAUGUUGUUCUAACCUUUAAAUUAUUCUGUUCUUCAGAUUCCAUAGAUCUUUCAUGCAUGUGGCUUAUUAAUCAUUUUGACAUUCCCAUCAGAUUACUAUGAUAGGAAUUGAAGCAUUUUAUAAGCUUUGAUUUUCAUUCUUUCGAAUUGUCAUUUGUAUAAUUUUUUGUUCUAUAUCCGGUGCACUCCACUUCAACAUUCUGGUAUGCCAGUUCUUACUUCUUAGGCCUUUGUUUUUCACCUCUCUUCCUAAUAUUUACUCGCUACUACAUUGACUUUUGGUAAGCUAGGUCUGCAGCAAGGAUGUACAUUUGGAUUUGAUGUUAUUAUGCUAUAAACUAUAAUUGUGCUUCAAAAUGAUUUA